AAAUUGAAGAGUUUGAUCAUGGCUCAGAUUGAACGCUGGCGGCAGGCCUAACACAUGCAAGUCGAACGGUAACAGGAAGAAGCUUGCUUCUUUGCUGACGAGUGGCGGACGGGUGAGUAAUGUCUGGGAAACUGCCUGAUGGAGGGGGAUAACUACUGGAAACGGUAGCUAAUACCGCAUAACGUCGCAAG
rnacentral:rRNA from 1 species